GCAGAAUGUUGACCAAUGGUUUAUAAUUAAAACUUAAUAUGGCUGGCUGUAAGAAUAAAGAGAAGUUUGAAGGAAUAAAUAUUUAGAGCGUCAUUUCAAUUAAAGCGGCUGCUACAGUUGCCGAAAUAAGAAAAGAAAUAAUGACUUUAUUAAAAUACGCACUCGAAAGAUGGAAUGGUGGUGGUCGGCGCGUAAAAGGCAAUUUAGCAUAUGUAUAACAUUCAUACUUUUUCCUAUUUGUUCUGGAACUAUUGUUAAAUAAAAAAUUUUUUUUUUAAAUUUCUCUAUUUGCAUUGCAUAUAAAGCUCCUUGAAGCAAUUUAGUGGUAUUUGAUUAAUUUACGUGAAAUAUAAUAUUCUUUGCGCAAA